rnacentral:rRNA from 1 species
GGGGGGGGGUGGGGGGGGGCGUGGGGGCGGGGGGGCGGGCGGGGGGGCGGGGAGCUGGCGGCGCUGAUGUGGGCGGCGGGCGGGGGGGUGACGCGUGGAUGACCCCCCUAUACGACUGGGAGAACUUCGGGAAACCGGAGCUAGGGCCGGAGCAGAUUUUUAACCGCCGGGUUCAAGAGCGAAAGGGGGCCUUGCUGUCCAUUGUCGAUGGAUCCGCGCUGCAUUAGCUAGUUGGUAAGGUAACGGCUUACCAAGGCAACGAUGCAGAGCCGACCUGAGAGGGUGAUCGGCCACACUGGAACUGAGACACGGUCCAGACUCCUACGGGAGGCAGCAGUAGGGACUCUUCCGCAAUGGGCGAAAGCCUGACGGAGCAACGCCGCGUGAGUGAUGAAGGUCUUCGGAUCGUAAAACUCUGUUAUUAGGGAAGAACAUAUGUGUAAGUAACUGUGCACAUCUUGACGGUACCUAAUCAGAAAGCCACGGCUAACUACGUG